AUUGAACGCUGGCGGCAGGCCUAACACAUGCAAGUCGAACGAGUAGCGGACGGGUGAGUAAUGUCUGGGAAACUGCCUGAUGGAGGGGGAUAACGACUGGAAACGGUAGCUACUACCGCAUAACAUCAGAUGUGCCCAGAUGGGAUUAGCUUGUGGGUGGGGUAACGGCACACCAAGACGACGAUCCCUAGCUGGGCUGAGAGGAUGACCAGCUACACGGGAACUGAGACACGGCCCAGACUCCUACGGGAGGCAGCAGUGGGGAAUAUUGCACAAUGGGCGCAAGCCUGAUGCAGCCAUGCCGCGUGUAUGAAGAAGGCCUUCGGGUUGGAAAGUACUUUCAGCGGGGAGGCGUUACCCGCAGAAGAAGCACCGGCUAACUCCGUGCCAGCAGCCGCGGUAAUAC
rnacentral:rRNA from 1 species